rnacentral:lncRNA from 1 species
CCUGGUGUUCUGUUGCACAGUAGGGUGAAUAUAGUUGACAACAGUAUGUUGUAUAUCUGAAAAGAGCUAGAAGAGAAGAUUUUGAAUGCAUUCUCAUGUUUUUACUAUAAUUUGUCCAAAGACAGUUUACAAGUUUUAGAGCAAAUAUCUGUGUUGGAAUCAACAUUGAAAACAUUUUCUCUGUCUUGAAAACAAAAGUAUAUUCUAUUUUUCCUCUAGCAGCAACUUCAUUAACUCAGACUGGUAGCUUCUGCUACUCUUGCUUUCA